rnacentral:rRNA from 1 species
GUAGGCCUACGGGAGGCAGCAGUAGGGAAUCUUCCACAAUGGACGAAAGUCUGAUGGAGCAACGCCGCGUGAGUGAAGAAGGGUUUCGGCUCGUAAAGCUCUGUUGGUAGUGAAGAAAGAUAGAGGUAGUAACUGGCCUUUAUUUGACGGUAAUUACUUAGAAAGUCACGGCUAACUACGUGCCAGCAGCCGCGGUAAUACGUAGGUGGCAAGCGUUGUCCGGAUUUAUUGGGCGUAAAGCGAGUGCAUGCGGGUCAAUAAGUCUGAUGUGAAAGCCUUUGGGGCAA